UAUUCCCCACUGCUGCCUCCCGUAGGAGUUUGGGCCGUGUCUCAGUCCCAAUGUGGCCGAUCAACCUCUCAGUUCGGCUACGUAUCAUCACCUUGGUAGGCCGUUACCCCACCAACAAGUUAAUACGCCGCAGGCCCAUCCAAAAGUGACAGCAAAAGCCGUCUUUUACAUGAACAUCAUGCGGUGUUCAUGGUUAUGCGGUAUUAGCACCUGUUUCCAAGUGUUAUCCCCCUCUUUUGGGCAGGUUGCCUACGUGUUACUCACCCGUUCGCCACUAAGCUUCUUUCGGUGAAUGCAAGCAUUCGGUGAAAGAAAGCUUCGUUCGACUUGCAUGUAUUAGGCACGCCGCCAGCGUUCAUCCUGAGCCAA
rnacentral:rRNA from 1 species